GAUGAACGCUGGCGGCGUGCCUAAUACAUGCAAGUCGAGCGAACGGACGAGAAGCUUGCUUCUCUGAUGUUAGCGGCGGACGGGUGAGUAACACGUGGAUAACCUACCUAUAAGACUUGGAUAACUUCGGGAAACCGGAGCUCAUACCGGAUGAUAUUUUGAACCGCAUGGUUCAAAAGUGAAAGACGGUCUUGCUGUCACUUAUAGAUGUAUCCGCGCUGCAUUAGCUAGUUGGUAAGGUAACGGCUUACCAAGGCAACGAUGCAUAGCCGACCUGAGAGGGUGAUCGGCCACACUGGAACUGAGACACGGUCCAGAGUCCUACGGGAGGCAGCAGUAGGGAAUCUUCCGCAAUGGGCGAAAGCCUGACGGAGCAACGCCGCGUGAGUGAUGAAGGUCUUCGGAUCGUAAAACUCUGUUAUUAGGGAAGAACAUAUGUGUAAGUAACUGUGCACAUCUUGACGGUACCUAAUCAGAAAGCAACGGCUAACUACGUG
rnacentral:rRNA from 1 species